GUGGAAAAUAAAAUGGCAGAGUUGUAUAAUAAAUCACAGAAUGUCAUGCUUGGAUUUAUCUAAUUAAACUGUGUUCAUUAACAUAGCUUAAAAAAGAAUCAGUUUACAUCACCAGCUGUUAAAGUACAGGCAUACAGCAAAGCUAUGUUGUUUAUGUGAGUUUGCAAAAAUGGGUAUAUCAAAAGAAUUGUAUUUGGACAAUAAAAAUAUGAUGAAGCUUGCUGAACCCAAUGUAACAAC